rnacentral:snoRNA from 1 species
GGGUGGGGGACUUAGAGCGGCCCGUAGGGCCCCCGUGAAGAAGUCCCCUGCCGCGGGGUUGCACA